rnacentral:rRNA from 1 species
UACGUAGGGGGCAAGCGUUGUCCGGAAUCAUUGGGCGUAAAGCGCGUGUAGGCGGCUCGAUAAGUCUGCUGUGAAAGUCCAGGGCUCAACCCUGGAAUGCCGGUGGAAACUGUCGAGCUAGAGUCCGGAAGAGGCGAGUGGAAUUCCCGGUGUAGUGGUGGAAUGCGUAGAUAUCGGGAGGAACACCAGUGGCGAAGGCGGUUGCCUGGGGCUUUGCUGACGCUGAUGCGCGAAAGCGUGGGGAGCGAUCCGG